rnacentral:lncRNA from 1 species
UUUAUGUGAUGUGUUUGUGUCACCAUAAAAAGCUGAUAUUCUAUUCAGUCGUGUUUUUUUGAUAUUUUUGUUAUUUUGUAAUCGAGUACCUUUUUAAAGGUCUAAUGGCUCCCAUCAGGUGUUGUGUGCAGUCGGUUGAAAAAUUCAACGAGUAAACAUAUAUUUAAUCCAAAUUAAAUACUCAUAUUUCUAUGUAAAAUGUCACAUUAUUGUAUAAAUAAAUAAUUAAGAAACAAAA